GACGAACGCUGGCGGCGUGCCUAAUACAUGCAAGUAGAACGCUGAAGCUUGGUGCUUGCACCGAGCGGAUGAGUUGCGAACGGGUGAGUAACGCGUAGGUAACCUGCCUGGUAGCGGGGGAUAACUAUUGGAAACGAUAGCUAAUACCGCAUAAUAGUAGAUGUUGCAUGACAUUUGCUUAAAAGGUGCAAUUGCAUCACUACCAGAUGGACCUGCGUUGUAUUAGCUAGUUGGUGAGGUAACGGCUCACCAAGGCAACGAUACAUAGCCGACCUGAGAGGGUGAUCGGCCACACUGGGACUGAGACACGGCCCAGACUCCUACGGGAGGCAGCAGUAGGGAAUCUUCGGCAAUGGACGGAAGUCUGACCGAGCAACGCCGCGUGAGUGAAGAAGGUUUUCGGAUCGUAAAGCUCUGUUGUAAGAGAAGAACGAGUGUGAGAGUGGAAAGUUCACACUGUGACGGUAUCUUACCAGAAAGAGACGGCUAACUACGUG
rnacentral:rRNA from 1 species